rnacentral:rRNA from 1 species
AACGAACGCUGGCGGCAUGCCUAACACAUGCAAGUCGAACGAUACCUCCGGGCCUAGUGGCGCACGGGUGCGUAACGCGGGGGAAUCUGCCCUCUGGUUCGGAACAACCGGGGGAAACGACUGCUAAUACCGGAUAAUGACUCCGGUCCAAAGAUUUAUCGCCUGAGGAUGAGCCCGCGUAGGAUUCGCUUGUUGGGGAGGUAAAAGCUCACGAAGGCGACGAUACUUAGCUGGGCUGUGAGGGUGGUCAGAAACACCGGGACUGGGACGCGGUCCAGACUCCUACGGGAGGCAGCCGUGGGGAAUAUUGGACAAUGGGCGAAAGCCUGAUCCAGCAAUGCCGCGUGAGUGAUGAAGGCCUUAGAGUUGUAAAGCUCUUUUACCCGGGAUGAUAAUGACGGUACCGGGAGAAUAAGCCCCGGCUAACUCCGUGCCAGCCGCCGCCGUAACAC